GACGAACGCUGGCGGCGUGCCUAAUACAUGCAAGUAGAACGCUGAAGCUUGGUGCUUGCCCCGAGCGGAUGAGUUGCGAACGGGUGAGUAACGCGUAGGUAACCUGCCUGGUAGCGGGGGAUAACUAUUGGAAACGAUAGCUAAUACCGCAUAAGAGUAGAUGUUGCAUGACAUUUGCUUAAAAGGUGCAAUUGCAUCACUACCAGAUGGACCUGCGUUGUAUUAGCUAGUUGGUGAGGUAACGGCUCACCAAGGCAACGAUACAUAGCCGACCUGAGAGGGUGAUCGGCCACACUGGGACUGAGACACGGCCCAGACGCCUACGGGAGGCAGCAGUAGGGAAUCUUCGGCAAUGGACGGAAGUCUGACCGAGCAACGCCGCGUGAGUGAAGAAGGUUGUCGGAUCGUAAAGCUCGGUUGUAAGAGAAGAACGAGUGUGAGAGUGGAAAGUUCACACUGUGACGGUAUCUUAACAGAAAGGGACGGCUAACUACGUG
rnacentral:rRNA from 1 species